rnacentral:rRNA from 1 species
AGUGAACGCUGGCGGUAGGCCUAACACAUGCAAGUCGAACGGCAGCACAGUAAGAGCUUGCUCUUACGGGUGGCGAGUGGCGGACGGGUGAGGAAUACAUCGGAAUCUACUUUUUCGUGGGGGAUAACGUAGGGAAACUUACGCUAAUACCGCAUACGACCUACGGGUGAAAGCAGGGGAUCUUCGGACCUUGCGCGAUUGAAUGAGCCGAUGUCGCAUUAGCUAGUUGGCGGGGUAAAGGCCCACCAAGGCGACGAUCCGUAGCUGGUCUGAGAGGAUGAUCAGCCACACUGGAACUGAGACACGGUCCAGACUCCUACGGGAGGCAGCAGUGGGGAAGAUUGGACAAUGGGCGCAAGCCUGAUCCAGCCAUACCGCGUGGGUGAAGAAGGCCUUCGGGUUGUAAAGCCCUUUUGUUGGGAAAGAAAAGCAGCAGGUUAAUACCCCGCUGUUCUGACGGUACCCAAAGAAUAAGCACCGGCUAACUUCGU